rnacentral:rRNA from 1 species
AGAGUUUGAUCAUGGCUCAGAUUGAACGCUGGCGGAAUGCUUUACACAUGCAAGUCGAACGGCAGCACGGGAGCUUGCUCCUGGUGGCGAGUGGCGAACGGGUGAGUAAUGUAUCGGAACGUACCCCGUCGUGGGGGAUAACUCUCCGAAAGGAGAGCUAAUACCGCAUACGACCCGAGGGUGAAAGCGGGGGACCUGGGGUAACCUGGGCCUCGCGCGAUGGGAGCGGCCGAUAUCGGAUUAGCUAGUUGGUGGGGUAAAGGCCUACCAAGGCGACGAUCCGUAGCGGGUCUGAGAGGACGACCCGCCACACUGGAACUGAGACACGGUCCAGACUCCUACGGGAGGCAGCAGUGGGGAAUUUUGGACAAUGGGCGCAAGCCUGAUCCAGCCAUUCCGCGUGAGUGAAGAAGGCCUUCGGGUUGUAAAGCUCUUUCAGCAGGAACGAAACGGUGGGUCUUAAUACGGCCUGCUAAUGACGGUACCUGCAGAAGAAGCACCGGCUAACUACGUGCCAGCAGCCGCGGUAAUACGUAGGGUGCGAGCGUUAAUCGGAAUUACUGGGCGUAAAGCGUGCGCAGGCGGCGACAUAAGACAGAUGUGAAAUCCCCGGGCUCAACCUGGGAACGGCGUUUGUGACUGUGUGGCUAGAGUGUGGCAGAGGGGGGUGGAAUUCCACGUGUAGCAGUGAAAUGCGUAG